GAUGAAGAACGCAGCGAAAUGCGAUAAGUAAUGUGAAUUGCAGAAUUCAGUGAAUCAUCGAAUCUUUGAACGCACCUUGCGCUCCUUGGCAUUCCGAGGAGCAUGCCUGUUUGAGUGUCAUUAAAUCAUCAACCACCUCAUCUUUUUGAGAGGGUUGGACUUGGAGGUUCUGCUGGCCCCUGCUCUCUGGGACCGGCUUCUCUGAAAUGCAUUAGCAGGGGCUCAUCUUGUGCAAUCUGCAGCCUUGUGUGAUAGUUAUCUACACUUGGCGCGGGUAGCAUUCACCCAGCUUCCAGCCGUCCGCUUGCGUGGACAACUACUUGACCACUUGACCUCGAAUCAGGUAGGAAUACCCGCUGAACUUAAGCAUAUCAAUAAGCGGAGGA
rnacentral:misc_RNA from 1 species